AAGAGACCUUGAAAAACAGCACAGUUGUAAGAGCCUUUCCUGGAGCUGAUAGCUCUAUCCAGAAUGACUCAUAGAGAUGUCUGAGAUAUGUCUGAGAAUCCUUUUAUUCUGGAUGAUGGUAAUGGCAAGAUUCCCACUGAUGUGAGUGAACUUCUACAGACCACCGUAGAUUUAUUGUACAUUCUUAAUUUCAACUGCCCUGAGGACUAAGUUAAGAUCCAGCUUGAGGGAAGCUCAACCUGGCUCAGAAGGACUGAAAUAUGCCAGAUGCCCACCUGAGCAGUCCACGCAGAGGUCUCGGCUGGGGCCGGAGGGGAAGGAAGCUGCUAUUCACACUUGUUGGCAUGGAGAUUUAUGGGCCAGGAAAAUAACCUGGCUCACAAAAGCUAGGUUUUCAAGCUAAUCUUUGAACUGAAAAGCAUCCGGAAUGCCUUCUGGCCCCCAGGCGGAGGGGGUGGCCUGAGGCAAAGCCAUCCCUGAGAUGAGGCAUUUGGAAGCUGCGGCCUGUGGCAUGCCUCCUCUGGCAGAAGGCUGAUGGAAGCACUUGACUCCAGGAUGCUGGGGAGAAGUUUCAGUUUAUCUCCUGCGUGUCUGUGCAGGAAAGUUGAUUUAAGUCUCUCUGAAGCCACUUUAUUCAUGAUUUGUGUCCUGGGCUGGGAGGCAUUCCCUAUCUCCAGUGUGCAAGAGCUGGUGUGAGAGCUAGCAGACAUGAGUGUUGCCCAGUCACCUGCUCCCCAGCACAGCAGACUCACUGCUCACUGGAAAUACAGGGUGAAAUGUUGUCUGAGUCAGGACAACAAUUGUUCAAGUGCUUCUUUCACUCCUGUUUGCUAAGAGAGGUACAGGGAAGGAUAGAUCUCGUCAGGAAAAAGCCAUAUAUGCAGUUCUUCAACACGCAGCCAUAGUGAAGGAUUCAUCGGGAAAACAGACAUUCCCAUUGCAGAGUGAAGGCUCCCUUUUGAAAGAAAGUAAGCCUGUGCAAGAAUUCCCAUCCUACUCAGUUUAAAUUAAGACCUCGAAUCCAGAUUUCUCAUGUCUACAGAGUGUAUCUUCACUUCCUCGCUGCUGGAUAUCCUGACCUGAUUGAGCAACGUAAGAUGCAGGGAAGGUACCUGGCUUUGUCUGUUUUAUUUCUGCUAAGUUCUUCAACCGGUACAUUAUGAAAUCACAAGUUUCUGAUAUGAUUAGUAUUGAUUUAUUUGUGAAGAGUGGGUUUAAAUGCAAGAAUCAAGGCAAGCUAAGCUGAAGAAGACUCUUACUUCAAGAGUAUAACGAAAUGUCAUAGUUUACUAUGGCUUAACUGGGUAUCUUCAUAAGCUUAUUUAUCAGUCGCUUUCAUGGACAAACAAGGACUCACAUUUUGUGUAUAUGGCCAUACAGAUUGGAAAAUGUAUAUCAAAAAUAUGCAGUUUCUUGUGGCAGGAGGCAGCAUAGCCAUUUUUCAGGAAAUAUUUCUUCACAGAGUUUAAUAUACCC
ensembl:lncRNA